GACGAACGCUGGCGGCGUGCUUAACACAUGCAAGUCGAACGAAAAGAGGGAAAGAGCUUGCUCUUUCCGGAAUUGAGUGGCAAACGGGUGAGUAACACGUAAACAACCUGCCUUCAGGAUGGGGACAACAGACGGAAACGACUGCUAAUACCGAAUAAGUUCCAAGAGCCGCAUGGCCCAUGGAAGAAAAGGUGGCCUCUACCUGUAAGCUAUCGCCUGAAGAGGGGUUUGCGUCUGAUUAGCUGGUUGGAGGGGUAACGGCCCACCAAGGCGACGAUCAGGAGCCGGUCGGAGAGGAUGAACGGACACACUGGAACGGAGACACGGUCCAGACUCCUACGGGAGGCAGCAGUGGGGAAUCUUCCGCAAUGGGAGAAAGCCUGACGGAGCAACGCCGCGUGAGUGAUGACGGCCUUCGGGUUGUAAAACUCUGUGAUCCGGGACGAAAAGGCAGAGUGCGAAGAACAAACUGCAUUGACGGUACCGGAAAAGCAAGCCACGGCUAACUACGUG
rnacentral:rRNA from 1 species